UACGGAGGGGGCUAGCGUUGUUCGGAAUUACUGGGCGUAAAGCGCACGUAGGCGGAUAUUUAAGUCAGGGGUGAAAUCCCGGGGCUCAACCCCGGAACUGCCUUUGAUACUGAAGAUCUUGAGUUCGGGAGAGGUGAGUGGAACUGCGAGUGUAGAGGUGAAAUUCGUAGAUAUUCGCAAGAACACCAGUGGCGAAGGCGGCUCACUGGCCCGAUACUGACGCUGAGGCACGAAAGCGUGGGGAGCAAACAGG
rnacentral:rRNA from 1 species